GCUUCUCCGGCAUUACCGCAGAGCAGGAAAACUGCAUUUUUCGCAUCUACCACAAGCGUCAGAAGUAGCCAUGCAAACAUAUCGCAUAUCUGAAAUAUGCACUUUCCAAACGACGAAUUCUGAACGUUUUAUCUAACUUUAAUGCACACUAUUUUCUUCGCAACAGUUGAAAUGUUUCCAUGGUUGCCCUUAACGCUAUGGAUAGACCGUUCACCUCAGUUUCAACACUGGAUUUUUUCAAUGUGACAUUUGUACCUACCCAAUGCUACAAUAUUUGCUUGGUCAGCCGAGGACUUUAAUAGUAGUUGAAUGCGAUGACAGUGGAUUACCUGGAAAAAACCUCCACCAUACCCUGAUUGCAUGGCCACCUUUGAUUACAGACCCCUGUCAACGUUUAAUGAGAAGCUCGAGGGAAUAAGCCACAGCUGGAGUGGGCUGACUGAUCUGGAGCAGUGACACAAAUUCACGAAGGAGAAACUUAUACUUUGUAAGUUGAGACAAAGCUGCUCCACCCACGAGUGCCUUUGCACACACAAGUGAUUACCCGCGCAUCUGUUGUGCUGGACAAAACAAUAAUGCGACGAUGAAACAAAGUCCGAAAGUCUUGUUUUCUUUCUGUCUUUCUUUCUUUUUUUUUGCUUGCUCAUCUCCAUGACCCUGUCUCUAUUUACUAUGAACAAUCGUCCUGCCCAAAGCCAGCUUUCUUUGCUGAAUUAUUGUGGCUACUUGCUCAAUCAAAUAACUUCAAUGAAAUUACUUUCAUAAGGUAGUCACAGGGUAUGGAACAAUGCUAGACUGCUCAAUCUAGGAAGAAAGAACUAAGGAUCACUUACUGGGUUAACAACAGAACAACAUUCUGUUAGGAGAAACUUCAGUCUGCCAAACCUCAGCAUGAGGUCAAUCCAAACAUGAAAAUCUGUCUAUUUAUUGAAAGCUCACACUGCAAGUACUCCACGGUAGUUUUUUGGGUGUGUUUGUGUGUGUGUGUGUGUAAGAAACUAUCUAGAUCCUGGAGGCUGUAGAUUGUGUAAUGUGUCCCAUCAAAAAACAAAAAUAACAAAAUAAUCCACUGAGACAUGAAAGUUAAUGCUACCCAUGUUUGAGUAGUUUUCUAUUGGUCAUCAUACAAAAAUCAUACAUUUUGCAGCAAUUUUGGUUUUAGAAAAAGUCUAAUCUUAUGUUGAAUGUGUCAGUCAGUUUUAUUUUACGUCUCAUUUCACACGAGCGAAUGUGAAGGACUUCUGUUCUCUCAGGAUUCGCUCCCUGAAAGAGCCGUGUAGCUUUCAGUCACUGGAAUAGUCCACGCUGAACUGGGUCUUCGUAAUCCUGUCUUCUGUUUAAACACGGCCUUGUAACCGAUGAAGCAAUCAAAGUAGAGAAGGGCUGGGAAGACAUCUGCUCAUAAAACAGGAAAAAUUUCUCAUGAUUGUCUUUUCAUCCACGGAAUAGGAAAUCUAAUGGACUAGAAAAUAAGAUAUAACCUCGCCACCGUAUGGACUUUAAGAAACUUUUGUUCACUGCAAAAUAUGAGUAAACAACUCAAUUUAAAAAAACUAGUUCUAGCUUCCAGAUAUUCCACAGUCUAGACAUGGCAACAUUUACAUACAUGCUUAGCAUUGUAUGUUUUAAGUUAUCUAUGUGUGGCUCUGCUUCUUAUUACAUGCUUCAUAAAAGCCUGUUUAGGUGCAUGUAUCUGCGCUGGUUUUCUUUGCUGAGGUACUGUUGCACCGGUCUGUCGUUUGGUUGUGGGUUUUUGACAGUAGCAGCAGUGUGCUCUGUAGGCCUGUAGGACCUUUUUCUCGGUUGUGUAGGGCUUUUUAUCCUGUAGGGCUGUAUGGCUUUUUUUUUUUCUGUAGAACUUUUUUUCCUGUAGUGCUGUUGGGCUUUUUUCCUGUAGUGCUGUUGGGCUUUUUUCCUGUAGUGCUGUUCGGCUUUUUUUUCCUGUGGUACUGUUGGGCUUUUUUCCUGUAGUGCUGUUCGGCUUUUUUCCUGUAGUGCUGUUCGGCUUUUUUUCCUGUGGUACUGUUGGGCUUUUUUCCUGUAGUGCUGUUGGGCUUUUUUCCUGUAGUGCUGUUGGGCUUUUUUCCUGUAGUGCUGUUGGGCUUUUUUCCUGUUGGGCUAUUUUCAGAUUGUGUCACUGUGCUCUCGGGUG